rnacentral:rRNA from 1 species
AGAGAGAGACAUGCGCGCAUAUCAAUAAGCGGAGGAAAAGAAACUAACUAAGGAUUCCCUUAGUAACGGCGAGUGAAGCGGGAAGAGCUCAAAUUUGAAAUCUUCAAGGUUCUACCUUGACGAAUUGUAGUUUAUAGAAGUGUUUUCCGUUAGUGGAGUGGCAAAAGUUCUUUGGAAUAGGACAUCAUAGAGGGUGAGAAUCCCGUAUUUGGUCAUUCCUCCUAGCGUUGUGAUACACUUUCAACGAGUCGGAUUGUUUGGGAACUGCAGUCCAAAAUGGGUGGUAAAUUUCAUCUAAAGCUAAAUAUUGGCGAGAGACCGAUAGCGAACAAGUACCGUGAGGGAAAGAUGAAAAGAACCUUGAAAAGAGAGUUAAACAGUACGUGAAAUUGUCAAAAGGGAAGCGUUUGACACUAGUGUUGUUUUUCCGAAAAUCAAUUACGAAUGUUUUAUUUUUGAGGAGUUAUGACUUCAUCGGCUUGCUCCUUUCUUUACGAAACUUUCUUAAUGCACUUUUCGGUUAACAAGUCAACAUCAAUUUCUUUUGUUGUAAAAGGGUAUGAGGAAGGUGGCUUUCUUUUCGGAGAAAGUGUUUAUAGCCUUGUGCCUCUGCAAUCGGAGAGAUUGAGGUCUGCAGCGUAGAUCCUUCGGGGUUAGAUACGUUUGUGCUAAGUUAUAGCUUUUCAUAGACAACUUGUUGACUAUGUUUAGUCUUGUAGCUUACUCGCUGACGCUAUUUUACCUACGCUUAGGAUGUUGAUAGUCACAGCGUGUAC